AGAGUUUGAUCCUGGCUCAGGACGAACGCUGGCGGCGUGCUUAACACAUGCAAGUCGAACGAUGAUCCGGUGCUUGCACCGGGGAUUAGUGGCGAACGGGUGAGUAACACGUGAGUAACCUGCCCUGGACUCUGGGAUAACCCCGAGAAAUCGGAGCUAAUACCGGAUAUGACCUGGAACCGCAUGGUUUUGGGUGGAAAGUUUUUCGGUCUGGGAUGGACUCGCGGCCUAUCAGCUUGUUGGUGAGGUAAUGGCUCACCAAGGCGUCGACGGGUAGCCGGCCUGAGAGGGUGACCGGCCACACUGGGACUGAGACACGGCCCAGACUCCUACGGGAGGCAGCAGUGGGGAAUAUUGCACAAUGGGCGCAAGCCUGAUGCAGCAACGCCGCGUGAGGGAUGACGGCCUUCGGGUUGUAAACCUCUUUUAGUAGGGAAGAAGGGCUUCGGCUUGACGGUACCUGCAGAAAAAGCACCGGCUAACUACGUGCCAGCAGCCGCGGUAAUACGUAGGGUGCGAGCGUUGUCCGGAAUUAUUGGGCGUAAAGAGCUCGUAGGCGGUUUGUCGCGUCUGCUGUGAAAUCCCGAGGCUCAACCUCGGGCCUGCAGUGGGUACGGGCAGACUGGAGUGCGGUAGGGGAGAAUGGAAUUCCUGGUGUAGCGGUGGAAUGCGCAGAUAUCAGGAGGAACACCGAUGGCGAAGGCAGUUCUCUGGGCCGUAACUGACGCUGAGGAGCGAAAGCGUGGGGAGCGAACAGGAUUAGAUACCCUAGUAGUCC
rnacentral:rRNA from 1 species